rnacentral:rRNA from 1 species
UACGUAGGGGGCAAGCGUUGUCCGGAUUUAUUGGGCGUAAAGAGCUCGUAGGCGGUUGGGUAAGUCGGGUGUGAAAACUCCAGGCUCAACUUGGAGAUGCCACCCGAUACUGCUCUGACUUGAGUUCGGUAGGGGAGUGGGGAAUUCCUGGUGUAGCGGUGAAAUGCGCAGAUAUCGGGAAGAACACCCGUGGCGAAGGCGGCUCUCUGGGACGGUACUGACGCUGAGACGCGAAAGCGUGGGGAGCGAACAGG